CCUUCCGGCGAAGACCACUCCGGAAGGGGGUGGGGGGAGCAACGUACCCCCCCAGACAAGUUUCCUUCAGCCUCGUCCCCCCUCAGGCCGAGCGCCGGCAGCUCAGCGGCGCACUCACCAUGCUGCAAGCGCUACCGGUCUCCGAGAAGCGGCCACACAACCAGUCAGCUCGCUCGCCCCGCUCGGACUAAUUCUCCUCCUCCGCCCCCAGCGCCUCAUAAACACCUCCCUCCGCCAGAUCCCUCCGCCGCACGCCAGAUAACGGAACAGCGCAAACGAGUCCCGGCUAAGCCCCCUCCUCUCCAGCUCGGCUCGGACUCCUGUCUCCACUGUUACGGACUCGACGAAGCAAAAGAGAAAGGGAAGUGGGCGAGCGGAUGACGUAAGUGGGUUUCACUGCUCAGCGAGCCCGGGUACCGGCCGGUGGAGUCGCGCCCGCGGGGCGCUACUUUGCGGCGCGGAGGAGCAUCAUGGUGGCGGCUCGCGGCCGAGGAUCGUUGAGUCGGCCUCUGAUUGGCUGGUAUGUACCCAGAAGAACUGAAAGCAAGAUCUUGAAGAGAUGUUGAUACACCUAUUCUCAAGGCUGUGUUAUUCGAUAUAGCUAAAACUUGGAAGCAACCCAAAUGUCCGUCAGUAGAUAAAUGGAUGAGCAAAAUGUGGCAUAUACAUACUUAAGAAUAUCAUUCAGCCUCAAAAAAGGAAAUUCUACAGGGUGUUGCAACAUGGAUGAACCUUGAGGACAUGUGAGGGAGCUUACAAGCCACAGAAGUUCCAGAAGGAUUUCUAAAGAAGAUCACUCCUAAACUGAAUCUGAUACAAUAAAUGACCUAGGAAACAAGCAAAAGGUCCCACUAAGAUAAUGUUAACUGUCAGCAACAAGAAGAGUUGAGUAUUUACUAUAUGCUAGGUGCAAUGAGGGACACCUGGAAGAAUCAGAGACAAGGAAGACAACCAGGACAUUCAGACCCAUCAGAGAGGGAGAGAAUCUUAAGCAAGCUCCACACCCAGCAUGGAGCCCGACUUGGAAUUUGAUCGCUCAACACUGUGAUCGUGACCUGAGCUGAAAUCAGGAGUUAGGCACUUAACUGAGCCACCCACGUGCCCCACAAAGCCACAUUUUAAGAAGGAAAUAAGCAAGCAAGAGUUAAAUUCAAGUAAUUAUUGAGUGAAGACCUUGAACUUGUUGUCUGGGAGUGGGAUAGAAAUCAAGAGGGUUCAUUACCAUUAUGGUUAUAGCGAUUUAUAUAUUUUUGCCUCAUAAAAUGUUCACAUCCAUGACCUAAUUUUAGCUUGCAUCUCUGUGAAGUAGGCAGAGAAAGUAUUAUUUUUCUCUCCCACUUCCACAGAUGGGAAAACAGAUCAAGAGAGUCUCACAACUGACUCAGCAUUACAGAGCAAAGCUAAUGGCAGGAGUAGGACUAGGAUUUCAUUCUUCAAAACUCCCAGUUGAAUGUCCUUUCCUCCACCCAUGUUGCCUUUCUGCCCUUGAAAAACUCUGUAAGAGUGGGAAAAUUUACAGUGAUAACUAAAACAAGAAAACAUGACACCUGGAGAGUUGAAAAAAAGAGUUCUCCCAUUAGGGGAAAAAAAUCUAGAACAGAUGCCAAAAGACACAUCAAGGUGGUAGCAAAGUGCUGGACACCCUGCCCUUGAGGAUGCCUCAUGAAUAUUUGAUGAUAUUAAUACACUGGAUUUGCCUCCAAAGUUGCAUUGGGUUGGGGGGCAGGAGUAAGGUCAUUGAGGUCACAAGCAAUGAUUUUUGAGGCCUAAAAAAAUAGAAGUAGCCUUACAGCUACUUUAGCGUACAGUUUGAGGGCCUCUUUUAAGUCAAGUAGAUUGCGAAAGAGCCAGUGAGUGGUUGUUGCCCUGGUGGAUGCUUUGCUUGCAAGAAAUAGAAAUUCACUGGCAUUGGCUUAUCUACAAUAGGAAGGUGUCUUAUAGGUCCUAUGGGUAAAAAUCACAUCUGGCUUAAGGAAAAACUAGAACUGGGAACUUGCAGACCUUCAGAAACUCAGAAGAUGUGCGUUCUCUCCAUGAUCUCUCUUCCGGAGUGUUUUGCCCAUAUUUUUCUGAAGAGUUCCCUCUUCUGCUCUGUCCCCAUGUGAGAUCAAAAGCAGAUACCCACAGCUCCCAAGUUCAUAUUCCAGCCAUAUGAACCAACUCUCUCUCCCCAUUCCUCUUUCUCAAACACAAACUCCCAUGGAAGGAGCUCUUUCAGCUUAAAUUGGCUCAGGAAUCCAUCCCUGAUCCAGUCAACUAUGACCAGGGGUCAGGGUCCCAUUAGUCAUGAGCAGCUGUUGAAAGCCACCCUCUACAGAUGGCAAUAAGGCAUUUAUAGAUAGAAAUCAUUUAAGCUGAGCAUAUACCUCAAAAUAUAUCCACCACUCACACCCACUAGGAUGGCUAUGCUAAAAAAACAAAACAAAACAAAACAAAAAAACAAAUGGAAAGUAACAAAUGUUGGCUAGAAUGUGGAGAAAUUGGAACCCUCAUGUAAUGUAAAUGGUAAUAUAAAUAUAAAUGUAAAAUGGUGCAGUUGCUAUGGAAAACAGUUUGGUGGUUCCUCAAUAAAUUUAAACAUAGAAUUACCAUAUGACCCAACAAUUCUACUCCUGGGUAUAUACCCAAAAGAAUUGAAAACAGGUGUUCAAACAAAAAACAUGUACAUAAAUCUUCAUAGCGGCACUGUUCACCAUAGCCAAGAGGUGGAAACAACCCACAUGUCAUCAGUUGAUGAGUGAAUAAACAAAAUGUGGUAAAGCCGUGCAAUGAAAUAUUAUUUAGUCACAAAAAGGGAUGAAGUGCUGAUACAUGUUACAAUGUGAAUGAACCUUAAAAAAAUUACACUAAGUGAAAGAAGCCAGACACAAAAGAUACUUAUAUGACUCUACUUAUAUGAAAUGAUUCUACUUAUUUUAUGAUUUUACUUUAUAUGAAAUAUCCAGACUAGACAAAUCCUUGGAGACAGAAAGCAGAUUAGUGGUUGCCAGGAGCUAGAGGGACAUAGGAAUGGAAAAUGAUGCUUAAUAAGUACAGGAACCCUUUUUGGGGGUGAUAAAAAUGUUCUGGAACUAGAAGGUGAUGAUGGUUGCACAACAUUGUGAAGGUACUAAAUGUCCCUAAAUUUCACACUUUAAAUGUUUAUGUUAUAGGUGUUUUACUACAACUGUAUUUAUACAUGGGAUGUGUGUAUGUCUGUGUUUCUUAUAUAUUUGUCAAUUGCUCUGAGAAGACUGAUCACAUUCACUACCCUAUAGUAGCCUGUUGAGAAUAAUAACUAAUACAUUCACUCAUUUACUCAUUCAA